GACGAGGGGUCCUAGCGUUGUUCGGAAUCAUUGGGCGUAAAGCGUGUGUAGGUGGCUAUUCAAGUCAGUUGUGAAAUCCCCGGGCUCAACCCGGGAAGUGCUUCUGAUACUGUUUAGCUUGAGUACUGGAGAGGAUAGUAGAAUUCCUGGUGUAGUGGUGAAAUACGUAGAUAUCAGGAGGAAUACCGGUGGCGAAGGCGGCUAUCUGGCCAUGUACUGACGCUGAGGCGCGAAAGCCAGGGGAGCGAACGGG
rnacentral:rRNA from 1 species